rnacentral:rRNA from 1 species
UACGUAGGGCGCAAGCGUUGUCCGGAUUUAUUGGGCGUAAAGAGCUCGUAGGCGGCUUGUCGCGUCGACUGUGAAAAACCCGCGGCUCAACUGCGGGCCUGCAGCCGAUACGGGCAGGCUAGAGUUCGGUAGGGGGAGACUGGAAUUCCUGGUGUAGCGGUGGAAUGCGCAGAUAUCAGGAGGAACACCAAUAGCGAAGGCAGCUCGCUGGGACGGUAUUGACGCUAAGGCGCGAAAGCGUGGGGAGCAAACAGGG